rnacentral:tRNA from 1 species
GGAGAGGUGGCUGAGUGGUCUAAGGCGCUCGCCUGGAGAGCGAGUAGGCGGCAUAUCCGCCUCGCGGGUUCAAAUCCCGCCCUCUCCGCCA